AUUGAACGCUGGCGGCAUGCCUUACACAUGCAAGUCGAACGGUAACAGGUCUUCGGAUGCUGACGAGUGGCGAACGGGUGAGUAAUACAUCGGAACGUGCCCGAUCGUGGGGGAUAACGAAGCGAAAGCUUUGCUAAUACCGCAUACGAUCUACGGAUGAAAGCAGGGGACCGCAAGGCCUUGCGCGAACGGAGCGGCCGAUGGCAGAUUAGGUAGUUGGUGGGAUAAAAGCUUACCAAGCCGACGAUCUGUAGCUGGUCUGAGAGGACGACCAGCCACACUGGGACUGAGACACGGCCCAGACUCCUACGGGAGGCAGCAGUGGGGAAUUUUGGACAAUGGGCGAAAGCCUGAUCCAGUCAUGCCGCGUGCAGGAUGAAGGCCUUCGGGUUGUAAACUGCUUUCGUACGGAACGAAAAGACUCUGGUUAAUACCUGGGGUCCAUGACGGUACCGUAAGAAUAAGCACCGGCUAACUACGUG
rnacentral:rRNA from 1 species